CCCCGCGCUCACGGCCCCAUCCCUGCCGCAGAGCAGUACGCCGUGGAUGAGCUGCUCCGCGCCUUCAUGCAGCAGGUGGAGAUCGACGAGCAGGUGCUCAUCUACCUGGAGAUGACUCAGUUCCACAACGCCCGGCAGCUGGCCGCGUGGUGCCUGCACUACAUCUGCACCAA